rnacentral:rRNA from 1 species
UGUGCGUCUCUAGCUAUGUUGAGACGCGGCAUACGGCUCAGUAACACGUGGUUAACCUACCCUUAGGACGGGGACAAACCCGGGAAACUGGGGCUAAUACCAGAUAGGCGAGGACGCCUGGAAUGGUUCUUCACCCAAAGGGCUUUGGAAACAUGCUUUUCAAAGUCGCCUGGGGAUGGGGCCGCGUCCGAUCAGGUUGUUGGUGAGGUAAUGGCUCACCAAGCCUAUAACCGGUACGGGCCGUGAGAGCGGUAGCCCGGAGAUGGGCACUGAGAUAAGGGCCCAGGCCCUACGGGGCGCAGCAGUCGCGAAAACUCCGCAAUGCACGAAAGUGUGACGGGGCUACCCCGAGUGCCGUCCGCUGAGGAUGGCUUUUCCUCGGUGUAACUAGCCGGGGGAAUAAGGAGAGGGCAAGACUGGUGUCAGCCGCCGCGGUAAUACCAGCUCUCCGAGUUGUAGGGAUGAUUAUUGGGCUUAAAGCGUCCGUAGCUGGCUUAGCAAGUCUCCUGUUAAAUUCAGCGACCUAAUCGUUGAGCCGCGGGAGAUACUACUAGGCUAGGAGGCGGGAGAGGUCGACGGUACUUUCGGGGUAGGGGUGAAAUCCUAUAAUCCCGGGAGGACCACCAGUGGCGAAGGCUGUCGACUAGAACGCGCUCGACGGUGAGGGACGAAAGCUGGGGGAGCGAACCGGAUUAGAUACCCGGGUAGUCCCAGCUGUAAACUAUGCGGGCUAGGUGUUGGGGUGGCUACGGGCCACUUUAGUGCCGCAGGA